AGAGCCCUUAUAAGAGGAUCAGAAGUAGUGAUGGCGAGAGACUGAGGGAUGAUGUCAUCUACUCUUCUGAUGUUCUUGUCAUUCUUAAGAAAGCCAAAAAAUUCUUCGCAGUUGUACAUGGAGAGCCAUCACUGUCAUUAUGAGUCUCAACAUCCUUUUUACAUCGUGGCGACCAAAACUGAAUGCAAUAUUCCAUACUGAAUGCAAUAAUCUGUACUAGUGACACAGAUAAAAAUCUACCAGAUCAAACCAGACUUCAACAGAACUGGUAUCCAGAUGGGCCCACAUGAAACUGCAUCAGUCUUCUCCCAGAAUACUCUUUGAUCCAAGAUGCUGUAGGAGCUAUACAGACCACAGAAUGAUUUGCAAAUUUGUCUCUUCAUUUCUUAUAUACGUUUAUAAUUUAUAUGCUAUAAAAAUAUACCAUGCCUCUGCUCCCCAACAACUUAGCUAAGGAGAAUUCCUAUUGUCCCUGAGAAAAAUCAGUUUAUCAAUUGUUUUAAAAUGGAGGUGGUUGAUGUCUAUCUUUUUUUUUUUUAAAGAAUAACUUUGAAUGUUGGGCAAGACAAGAAGAUGGGAAGAAAAUUACCUCCUCAAAAAAUUUCAGCUCUUAUCUGUGUACUAACAUAAAUAGAUUUAGUAAGAGGAAUUCUAAUUUGUAAGCAUUAUUCUGUGUUUUUAAGUAUUGUAAACUGACCAAAGCAAAUAAUCUUUCAGACUAUGGACUUCUCCAAAUUCUGUGAGAUAUAUAUAUCUACACAAAUGGAAGUUGCUACAACAUAUGCUGAUUGUGGAAAUGCCAGCUAACUCAACCCCGAGGCGAUCGGAGGACUUAGCUGAGUCUGAAGAAGUCCAGCGACGCCAACCGGCUCCUCCAGAGGACAGCAGGGACGACUCUGCCAAUAAUCCAGGGCCGGAUGGCCCAGAGGAGGAGCUGGGAGGAACAAACAGUCCCUCCGACCAGCUCGACUCACUCCCAAGGAAUGAAUUGCACAGGUUAUGAAAAGGGGAUGAAAAUGAACCUCCAAGCCCUCUUCAUAGUCAUCCUUCUCCACUGACAGUAGAAAUGCACCAUUGACAGUAGAAAUGAAAGGAAUGGAAAG